rnacentral:lncRNA from 1 species
AUGGCAGUGGGAUCACUGGGAAUUACCCUGGGAUCAUCGGGAAUUGCCGUGGGAUCAUCGGGAAUUACCCUGGGGUCGUUGGGAAUGGCAGUGGGAUCACUGGGAAUUACCCUGGGAUCAUUGGGAAUGCCGUGGGAUUGUUGGGAAUUGUUAUGGGAUCAUUGGGAAUGGCAGCAGGAUCCCUGGGAAUUGCAGUGGGAUCCCUGGGAAUUGUCAUGGGAUCAUCGGGAAUUGCCGUGGGAUCCCUGGGAAUUGCUGUGGGAUCGCUGGGAAUGGCAGUGGGAUUGCUGGGAAUUACCCUGGGAUCAUUGGGAAUGGCAGCGGGAUCGCUGGGAAUUGUCGUGGGAUUGUUGGGAAUUGUCCUGGGAUCGUUGGGAAUUGCAGUGGGAUCAUCGGGAAUUGUUAUGGGAUCAUCAGGAAUUGCAGUGGGAUCGUUGGGAAUUGUCAUGGGAUCAUUGGGAAUUGUCAUGGGAUCAUCGGGAAUUGCAGUGGGAUCAUUGGGAAUGCCGUGGGAUCGUUGGGAAUUGCAGUGGGAUCAUCGGGAAUUGUUAUGGGAUCAUCGGGAAUUGCCGUGGGAUCGUUGGGAAUUGCCGUGGGAUCACUGGGAAUUCCCGGCCUCAGGUUGUGAUUUUUGGGAUCUCUUGGCUUUGGGAUUUUUGGGAUUUCCCUGCCCAGGACAGGCUGGGCCGGCUCAGGGCUCCCCAAUUCCUUCUGCUCCCACCUUUGGAGCCAAGAGCAGAAAAGUGGGAAUUUUUCCUGCUGAACUCCUCAGCGCUCCCAGGAUUUCAAACCCCCGGGGUGGGAUUGUGCCAAGCAAUCCAAACCUGGAGAAUUCCUGAAGCCCAUAAAGAACAUUCUGGAGCUCUCACUCAUCCCAACCCCCUCAUCUCCCAAAUCCAACAAUUCCCUGAUCCCAGAAAACUCAAGGCACAGCAGCACCAAAACCCUUUCCCUCCUCUGAUCCCGGAUUUCCGUGAUUCCAGGUGUUUUUUGGGAAGGCAGGAGCGGUGGAGCCUCACACCCCAAACCCCUUUUCCUUGUCUGAUCCCAGAUUUCCAUGAUUCCAGAUGUUUUUUGGGAAGGCAGGAGUAA